rnacentral:rRNA from 1 species
CUAAUACCGGAUAACAACAGAUGAUGCCUAUCAACUGUUUAAAAGAAUGGUUCUGCUAUCACUCUUGGAUGGACCUGCGGUGCAUUAGCUAGUUGGUAGGGUAACGGCCUACCAAGGCGAUGAUGCAUAGCCGAGUUGAGAGACUGAUCGGCCACAUUGGGACUGAGACACGGCCCAAACUCCUACGGGAGGCAGCAGCU